UACGUAGGGGGCAAGCGUUGUCCGGAUUUAUUGGGCGUAAAGCGCGUGUAGGCGGCCACGCAGGUCCGCUGUGAAAACUCGAGGCUCAACCUCGAGCUGUCGGUGGAAACCGCGUGGCUAGAGUCCGGAAGAGGGGACUGGAAUUCCCGGUGUAGCGGUGGAAUGCGCAGAUAUCGGGAGGAACACCGGUGGCGAAGGCGGGUCUCUGGGCCGUAACUGACGCCGAGGAGCGAAAGCGUGGGGAGCGAACAGG
rnacentral:rRNA from 1 species